rnacentral:rRNA from 1 species
CACGUAGGGCGCAAGCGUUGUCCGGAAUUAUUGGGCGUAAAGAGCUCGUAGGCGGUCUGUUGCGUCCGCUGUGAAAACUCGGGGCUUAACCCCGAGCCUGCAGUGGAUACGGGCAGACUAGAGGUGAGUAGGGGAGAAUGGAAUUCCCGGUGUAGCGGUGAAAAUGCGCAGAUAUCGGGAGGAACACCGGUGGCGAAGGCGGUUCUCUGGGCCUUACCUGACGCUGAGACGCGAAAGCGUGGGGAGCGAACCGG